UACGGGGGGGGCAAGCGUUGUUCGGAAUUACUGGGCGUAAAGGGCUCGUAGGUGGCCAACUAAGUCAGACGUGAAAUCCCUCGGCUUAACCGAGGAACUGCGUCUGAUACUGGAUGGCUUGAGUUUGGGAGAGGGACGCGGAAUUCCAGGUGUAGCGGUGAAAUGCGUAGAUAUGCGGAGGAACACCGAUGGCGAAGGCAAUCCCCUGGGCCUGCACUGACGCUCAUGCACGAAAGCGUGGGGAGCAAACAGG
rnacentral:rRNA from 1 species